rnacentral:lncRNA from 1 species
AUGCAAACAAUCCGGCCCCUCCAAACCAUAGUAUUGUCCUUAUUAUUGUCCUAACAGCUAAGGAGAAAGACGACCAGUCUUGGGGAAAGUGUACACAAAAAUCCAAUAUGGCGGCUUGUGUAUGGGCUUACCAGCCAAGCUUCUCGAAGUGAGCCGAUUACUUCUUCAUGUAAGCCUUGUGACAAAAGCCUCAACCCAACUUAGGAAGUAAGACUUGCAUAAGAUGUCUUAGAUAAAAGUUCGAGGGGAAAGAUAGAAAGGUACAUAGGCCCUGGAUUAAAAAAUGUGUAAAAAAAAUAAAUAAAUACACGGAAAUAUGAAAUAGCGUAACUGGUAGAAUUUUCAGGCCACACUUCGUAUUUUCUUUGUUGCAAAGAUGGAGGGCACGAGCAUCUCGUUUUCACGGCAGGGUGCAUUACCUGAAACAUCUUCUUAAACCUAAACUAGCAACAUGUGUGGCUAAUGCCCCAUCGGUAUUCCAAACAAAUGCACAUCACUUGAACUAGCACCAGCAGGUCACCUGCCCUAGUUUAUUUUGAAAGCAGUCAUUUUUAAAAUGGUCCAUGGUCCAAUCUACAACUUUUUCUUCUUCCUCUUUGUGGAGUGAUAUUAACAUUCCUGUGCGUCAAAAGCUCAGCUAACGAUUCUGAUAGUUUUCCUAUUGUGAUCAACACGUGGUCUGGAAGCUAUAAAGGAGCCACAGACAAAGGUGAUAUAACGACUGAUUUAAAUUUACACAUUAGUUUGUUUGAUUCGGCUGAAUCAAGUGACAACAGAGGAAAUAAUGACGCCUCUAACAUUACAUUUAUUUAAAAACAUCCGUCGACAGCUCGGACUUCUGACAAGUUGUGACAUUGCGUGGUGACAAUAUUUCUGAUAGGUGCGUCAUUACCGCAAUACGCGAAUAUUAAAGUGAUAUUGUAAAAUUAUUUGAUAGUACACGAAAGGAAUAGAUCCAUUGAAAAGGUAUCAUUCAGGUCACAUGAUCAUGGAUGUUCUAAAACCUCCAGUAUAGAAUGUACACUCUGUAAUUUUAUAUGGAAUAUUAAGCAAUUUUUGAUGAUACAGGAUGGCACCAGUAGAUUACAUCACUUUUUUGUAAAAAGCAAAUGUUCGUUUCCCAAGUGAAGCUCGAUACAAUAUUUGCGUCUGAUCUUUAUUAGCAUCCACAAAGGCGAGCCCGGUUUCAGCUCGCCACUGUAAACGCCCUGUACAUGAAGAUUGGCCCUGCCAAUACUGUGUCAAUUCUGUUAGUUAAAAGUUACCACAGGAAUUACAUUUUAUGACAACUGUUAUUGCAUUAACGAAGGGUAAAACAAUACAAAACGUUAUUGAAAUUCAUGGCAGUUCACACCUGUUUAAAGUUUGAUAGGCUCAGUCGGUUAUCUCUAGCAAAAAUUGUUUAACUUUCACAAUUUGAAGCAUUUCAUUCUUUUUUUGAUUUCGUCGUUUCCAGUGUACACCAAAAGCUCUGGUAACUAUUCUGAUUUCUUUCCUGGUGUGAUCAACACAUGGGCUGGAAACCAUGAAGUGGCCACAGGCAAAGGUGAUGAAGUGACCGCCGUUUAUUCUGCUUGCCUGAGUGUGAAAUUAUUCAUAAGCUUGUGAUAUUAGGAAAUUAUUAUACCCGCUUUAAGUUAUCUAUAUUUAAGAGUGUUUAAGAAGUGGCUUGCAAAUUGAAAUAAGUGCAACAUGUCCCAUCCGGCCAGUGCAAGGGACUUUUAACAAACCUUUCUGAGGCAUCUCACAUUUAUUCACUUAGUUAACAUUUUAUUUUCAUUCAUUUUGUAUGUUAUUUUACGUUAAUUAAUGUAAGAAAUCAAUAUGGCUUUUCAAGAAAAAGAUCAAAACCCACUUUUCUUCUUUGGGCUCCCACACGGCAGUCAUGUAAACCCGCUUUUCGGUAUCGUAGUAGUCGAUUUUAUCGACUUAUAUUUUAGUAUGUUUUUUUAUACUCUGUAACUGAAUUAAUACACAGAGUAUGCUAUGCACCCAAAAUCUAACAGUAUCGUUUAGUCUAUGUUACGAGACAGAAUCAGUUUGCUUUCAUAUUUCAAACCUAUUAUGUUUUAGUCUUUUAAGUAAGUCAACUUGAUAUAACUUGCACAACGUUUUCCAAAGGUUUAUCAAUGCUUCCACGCCGAUCUUUCGCAUGUAUCUACCACUGGGAAGCUAUAGAAACGCUUGUGAUGUAUUCGGCCCUUCGUGUACAAACUGUGCGACUCAAAUACUGAUAUCUGAUUAUACUGUGGCUCAUGCUAUGGCUAUUACAUGUAUCUGCUUUCUUGCUUAGAAAUUAUAAUUUAUAUCUUUCCUACCUAUCACUGUGUUGAACAUUAGCAUGGGAAGUACUCGCAAAGGGAGGACCAUCUCUAGAUGCCAUAGAGGAAGGAGUUACAGCGUGUGAGCUGAACCAGUGCGGCACUCACAGAGUGACUGUGGGCUAUGGUGGAAGGUAUUGUACACGUCCUAAUGAAGCUGGAAAGACAACAUUAGAUGCUUUAAUAAUUGAUGGUGCAACACACGCUGCUGGGG